rnacentral:rRNA from 1 species
UACAGAGACUGCAAGCGUUAUUCGGAUUCACUGGGCGUAAAGGGUGCGCAGGCGGCCAAGUGGGUGAGGCGUGAAAGCCCGGAGCUUAACUUCGGAAUUGCACCUCAAACUACAUGGCUAGAGCAUUGGAGAGGGUAGCGGAAUUCACGGUGUAGCAGUGAAAUGCGUAGAUAUCGUGAGGAACACCAGAGGCGAAGGCGGCUACCUGGACAAUUGCUGACGCUCAGGCACGAAAGCGUGGGGAGCAAAAGGG